GGUGGUGUAAGUGUUUGAACAAUGAUCCGAUGAUUCAUAGAGGCAACCAAAGAUCAAGAGAUCUGCUCUAACAGACAGGCACUGUAUAUUCAGGUUUCAAUGGGUUAAUGACUAUCUAUGCUUGAACAUGAGAAUCUGGCAAAACACCAAUUGGUCAGAUGAGAGUCGGUUUCUUUUACUACCAGUAGACGCCAUUAAUAUGAAUUUCAGGGG
rnacentral:lncRNA from 1 species